GACGAACGCUGGCGGCGUGCCUAACACAUGCAAGUCGAACGAAGUAAGUUGCUUCACCAAGUGUUGAAUAGCUACCCCCAAGCGCAUUUGCCAAAGGGUAAGCAAAAAGUACUAUCAAUUAAAUAAAAUGGUGAAACAAAAGAAUAGCGAAGAAGAAGCAAAUGCGCUUCACGCUAAUUCCAAGUACCAACACAAAACAAAUUCAAUGUUUGGUGAAGCAACUUGCUUAGUGGCGGACGGGUGAGUAACGCGUGAACAAUCUGCCCCGUACAAAGGGAUAGCCUCGGGAAACCGGGAUUAAAACCAUAUAACACUUAACUGCCGCAUGGUAGUGAAGUCAAAUCGAUUAAGAGGUAUGGGAUGAGUUCGCGUCUGAUUAGCUAGUUGGUGAGGUAAGGGCUCACCAAGGACGACGAUCAGUAGCCGGCCUGAGAGGGUGAACGGCCACACUGGAACUGAGACACGGUCCAGACUCCUACGGGAGGCAGCAGUGGGGAAUAUUGCACAAUGGA
rnacentral:rRNA from 1 species